rnacentral:misc_RNA from 1 species
UUAAGUUCAGCGGGUAGUCCUACCUGAUUUGAGGUCAGAGUCCAAAAGAGCCCCACAGGGGGGACACAGGAGGUUAUGAGCAGGCCUCACAUCAUGUCAGACGAAACUUAUCACGUCAGGCCAUGGAUGCUGAUCCCACUAAGUCAUUUGAGGUGAGCCGACAGACGGCAGAGACACCCAGGUCCAAGUCCAUCCCCAGG